GACGAACGCUGGCGGCGUGCUUAACACAUGCAAGUCGAACGCUGAAGCUCAGCUUUUGUUGGGUGGAUGAGUGGCGAACGGGUGAGUAACACGUGAGUAACCUGCCCCCUUCUUUGGGAUAACGCCCGGAAACGGGUGCUAAUACUGGAUAUUCACUGGUCUUCGCAUGGGGGUUGGUGGAAAGGGUUUUUCUGGUGGGGGAUGGGCUCGCGGCCUAUCAGCUUGUUGGUAGGGUGAUGGCCUACCAAGGCUUUGACGGGUAGCCGGCCUGAGAGGGUGACCGGUCACAUUGGGACUGAGAUACGGCCCAGACUCCUACGGGAGGCAGCAGUGGGGAAUAUUGCACAAUGGGCGCAAGCCUGAUGCAGCGACGCCGCGUGAGGGAUGGAGGCCUUCGGGUUGUGAACCUCUUUCGCUCAUGGUCAAGCCGCAACAAUGGUUGUGGUGAGGGUAGUGGGUAAAGAAGCGCCGGCUAACUACGUG
rnacentral:rRNA from 1 species